rnacentral:lncRNA from 1 species
GGACAGUGGAUGAGAAUGGGUUUGAUAAGGAACUUUGGGUACAUUGGCUGAUAGGGUAAAAGUUGUAGUUUUUGGAAAGAAAGAUUUGGUUGUAUAAUGCUGUUUCCUUCUUUACGCUAAGCAACGGUAGAGCUUUGCAGUACCAUAGGAGGAACUAAUCUCGGAAUUAGUGAAAGUGUACUAUAUUAGGGUAUAUGUAAUUUGGUUUGUUGCCUGUAGUGGAUUGUUGGAAUCAUAAGAUUGGGGAACAUAACAAGGAAUGGGAGAAAGAGAAAAGCAAAGUACAUGAAUAAUGAGG